rnacentral:lncRNA from 1 species
CGAGGGGCUUGUAGUCUCUGGAACGGCUGCUCACCUGUCUCCAGCCAGCAGGACAGGCCUGUGGGCUGGGGAGUCUGCCUGGAAGGAGCUUGGGGGCCACCCUUUGUGGCCUGGGAGCUCAAGGAGGACACCACCGCAGGGCUGUGGUUUAGGUGGAGGGAGAGGACACGUGGGCCGGAGGGGCUUCCGGAUAGUAUCGGGUGGGUGGUUUUAGGUGGUUGGGGAGCUGCUGGGCGGUGCCAGGGCUGCCUGAGGGCGGCUGGGACAACUGAGGUCCCGUGGGGGGCCGAGCUGGUGUGCCGUCCCUUGAGUGUGAGCUCUCGGGGAGCAGGUGCAAGCAGCACGUGGUGGUGGGGUGCCGCUGCGGCGUCCUUGCGGGCGCGCGUGAGCCGUGCACCAGAUUCCACCUGCAGCCCAGAAACCCCUCUCUCUCCUGCAGCCGGUGCCCUCCCUGGAGCUGGAGGCGUUGCGCCUGAGUCUCAGCAACAUGCACACGGCGCAGCUGGAGCUGACGCAGGCCAACCUCCAGAAGGAGAAGGAGACGGCGCUGACGGAGCUGCGGGCCAUGCUCAACGGCCGGCAUGCCCAGGAGCUGGCCCUGCUGCGGAGCAGACAGCAGCAGGAGCUGGGGCUUGUGCGGGAGCAGCACGCGAGGGAGCAGGAGGCGGCGGCGCUGCGGUACAGCCGCGAGACCGGUACGGGUGGGCAGGUGUGCGGGGGCUUCACCGCCACUCGUCUGCUUCGGUGGGGGGGGGGGGGGAUGUGGGUGACCCUGUAGGAGUGUCUCCCGGGGGUAGUGUUGACAUGCGAAGUGCGGGGCGCGCUGGCCGCCGUCCACCUCCUGGGUGGGGUCGCGUGCAUCCUGCUUUGUGGGGACCCUGUUGUCCUCUCACCUUGCAUCCGCUUCUCCCGUGGGCUCGUGGCAGGUUUGGAAGCCACGCUGUUGGAGGUGACCUGCUCAUGUGCCGGAAGUGUCCGUGUCCACCUCUCAUGGGACUGUGUCUGUGGCUGAGCUUUGUCGACUGA